AUGGCGACGGCCCGCUCUGCCCACUUUUGGUUUCAAAAACCAUAGACAAUAAAAGAAAACUCUUUCGGAAACCUAUGGGUGACGUCACGGACACUACAUCCAUGUUUUUAUACAGUCUAUGGUGGACACCGAUUGUGUAAAUUAGGAAUCGGAUUACUAACAUAUCCCUGAAAUAAGCGACAUGAACAGGGCACAGCUGCUGCACGUCCCUCAGUCUCCAGGGAGUGAAAUGAAGAAGAAAGAGCUGAAAGAAGAAGACUAACAAUAGAGGAAGAGGGAGAGAGAAUGAAGACGGGGGGGUAUAAAGUUUGUUUCUCCUCAGUCCCUUCUCAACCAUCCUUGGCUGGUCAAGGAGACCGUCGCCAGUCGGAUCACCAGCCGCACACAGAUGGUCCUUCCACACCGGUGAAGAAACCUUCACCUGCCCUGACCUCCCCAACACAAGCAGUCCAAACAGACAAAGUGCAAGAUGGCAAAAGAGAUCUUAAACAAUGCGCCUUCCUUCAAGCGGAAGUAACAAGCAACUCAAUUGAAUUAAAAAAUCUGAAAUUG